UGCCACUACAUGCUGCUAAGCGUCACUGGUGGAUUGUGAGACUCGUGAGAAUUAUCUAGAUGAUCGAUAAUUCUCAUUGGGCUGAGUUGGAAUUGUUCCGAUCCACUGAAAGGAGUUUCAGUGAUAUUGUUGAUAGUGAUCAAAAUAUAUCUCACUACCAGAUAGAAUAGAACCUAUGGGGUCAUACACAUAAGAGGUUGUGAUUGAUCGGAUAGCUAGAUCGCGAUUAUUGAAUCGCCGGAGGACCUAAUUGUCAAUAUGUUGAUAAUUGGACUAAUUUGUAAUUGUUACAAAUUAGUGGUAUUAAAGUGUAAAUGUUACAAGAGAGGACUUACUAAUAGUUAGUGUGGACGUUUUGUGGAUUAGGGACAUUGCGUUCGUGGAUUCGAACGUGGGCGUGGACUAGCCGUUGGUGUGCGCGAGAUCUAAAGAAGAUAAAAAAAGAGGUUUGAGUACGUGGAUUAGUAAUCACCUUAUCAUCUUUUUUACUCUUAGUGGAUUGUUAUCGCGUAUUGGUCCCGUGAGUCAGUAAUCACUUUGUUAUCUUUUAUUUGUUGCAUCGAGUUGGUUAUUUUUAUUGUUUACACCUAUUCAUCCCCCUCUAAAUGAUUGAUAGUAUCUAGAUAGAUCCUUGGGAUCCCCAUAACUAACAAUUCUAAUAGAACAAUUUCUUAAUCUUUUAGGUAUCUUUUGGUUCGGGGAUAAGCAAAAAGCGGCUAUUCCAGGAAUAGGUAUAAAUUGAGGUAUAAGCAGGGAUUAAAUCAAUUUUGCGUUUGGAUGAAAAUUGGGUUAUUCCUGGGAAUAAAAAAAAUAGCGUUUGGUUAGGUAAGAUGGAAUAAGAAGAAUAGUGGGUUUUUAUAAAUAAAAAAUAACGCAUUACCCUUUUAUUAUAUUUGAAUUCGAAUUUUUAAAAUUUUAAAUUUAUAUUUUUUAAUUUAAAAUUUUAACUUUAGCAAUUUAAAUUAUUUAAAUUUAUAAUCUUUUAUAUUUCAAAACUUUAAUUUUAUUAUCAAAUUUAAAUUUGAAAUAUAUUAAAUUAUAUUAAAUUUUAUAUUUAAAUUUUAUACUUUAAUUUUGAGAUUAUAAAUUAUAAAUUUUAAAAAUUUAAAUUUUUAAUUUUUAAAAUUUUAAAAUAAGAAUAGGGAUGGGAACAAUUAAUAAAAACUAUUUAUUAUAAUAAAUUUAUAAUUUUUUUAAAAUUCUAAUUAAACUUAAAUUUAAUAAAAAAUUUAUUAUAAUAUUUAAAUAUAAAUAAUAUAUAUUAAUAUAGUACAAUUAAUAAUUUUAUAAUAAAAAUAAUGUAUUAUAAUAUAUAACAUAUUAUAUUUAUAAUUUUGUUUUAAUUCAAUUUAUAAUUUUAAUUAAGUAUGAAAUUAAGCAUUGGAAUAGUACUAUUCCCCCAAAAUGGUGGAAUAGCAAAUCCCUUACUAUUCCGGAAUAACUGGGAAUAGCAAGGUUUGACCGGAAUAAAAUAUCCCGGUGAAACAUCAGCCCGUUUGGCGGAAUAGCGNAAUAGCGGAAAAGGGUUUCCGAUAUUAGAAACUCGAGUCGAAUAAAUUUAACAUAUGACAAACGAUGGGGUUUGACGAGUUAUUCCAUAACCUCCGCCUAGUCGGGACUCAUGAUAGAAGGAUUGUAUCAACGGUAACUGCACAAGGAGGUUCAGUAUUCCAUUCUACUGGAAUGCCACUACAUGCUGCUAAGCGUCACUGGUGGAUUGUGAGACUCGUGAGAAUUAUCUAGAUGAUCGAUAAUUCUCAUUGGGCUGAGUUGGAAUUGUUCCGAUCCACUGAAAGGAGUUUCAGUGAUAUUGUUGAUAGUGAUCAAAAUAUAUCUCACUACCAGAUAGAAUAGAACCUAUGGGGUCAUACACAUAAGAGGUUGUGAUUGAUCGGAUAGCUAGAUCGCGAUUAUUGAAUCGCCGGAGGACCUAAUUGUCAAUAUGUUGAUAAUUGGACUAAUUUGUAAUUGUUACAAAUUAGUGGUAUUAAAGUGUAAAUGUUACAAGAGAGGACUUACUAAUAGUUAGUGUGGACGUUUUGUGGAUUAGGGACAUUGCGUUCGUGGAUUCGAACGUGGGCGUGGACUAGCCGUUGGUGUGCGCGAGAUCUAAAGAAGAUAAAAAAAGAGGUUUGAGUACGUGGAUUAGUAAUCACC
rnacentral:lncRNA from 1 species